GUGCUCACUUUGGCAGCACAUAUAAUAAUACUAGAAUGAUAGAGAGAAGACUAGCAUGGUUCCUGCACAAGGAUGACACACAAAUUCAUGAAGCAUUCCAUAUUUUU
ensembl:snRNA U6 U6 spliceosomal RNA